AUUAGUGACAGAAGCUCGAAGUGGUCGAGGUGUGAAAGGAACCGAAAAGAUUCCAGGUGUUAAUAAGGUGACUGUAAUAGUGGACAAGCGGAGCGCCAAAAUUAGUUCGGGGGAUGCUGGACGCACCCGUGAAGAAUUUCGAUGGAUAUCCACCAACCCACAUUCGAGUGUUGAACAAACUCUAACGCAAAAAAGUCGAACUGGCUUUAAAACGCCCAUUCAAACACAGUUUAUGCGAAAUCUAGCGGCGAGCACUGAUACUAAUAUGACAACUCUGAAAAUCGCAAGUUUAACGCAAUCAAAGCAAACCGUUCAAGCAAGACAGUUAAAUACUGGUGCGACAAAAUUUGGGACCAGUUCCUCGUUUCGAAAGUGUGAUUGUUUUUCGAACCCUGUUGUAGGUAACGAAAAAUGGGUCACGCCCAUAAUUGCACGAAAACACAGCGGGUGGCCAUUCACAAAAUGGCUAAGACAGGCAACAGCCAACGUGAUAUCUCAGAGUACUUGGAACAAUCAGAACCUUCAAAAACAUUCGCUUUAAAGCCUCGACAAUAAAUCCGGGACGAAUCGAGCUCGUCCGUGAGUUCCCGGAGAGUUUAGCGGAGGCUGGUUAAGCAGGGGCCAGGCGGUAAAAGCCUCCGGAACGUUCCGAUGCUGUCGCCGAAGCAUCUGCACUUAAACGCCACAGCAUACCAUGAAGACAUUCAAGCAUAGAGGAACAAUCAUUAUGGUGUGGAAGUGGUUAUCCAGGUACGGCCCCCUGAACUUAGUGGAUAAGAUCAUCAAGAU